CGCCUAGAAGGUGGAAUCGAACCACUCUGCCGUAAAGCAGCUACAGGUUUGAAGCCUGCACACCGGACCACCGAAGAUCAUCCAGGC